rnacentral:rRNA from 1 species
AACGAACGCUGGCGGCAUGCCUAACACAUGCAAGUCGAACGAGACCUUCGGGUCUAGUGGCGCACGGGUGCGUAACGCGUGGGAAUCUGCCCUUGUGUUCGGGAUAACAGUUGGAAACGACUGCUAAUACCGGAUGAUGACUUCGGUCCAAAGAUUUAUCGCCCAGGGAUGAGCCCGCGUCGGAUUAGCUAGUUGGUGAGGUAAGAGCUCACCAAGGCGACGAUCCGUAGCUGGUCUGAGAGGAUGAUCAGCCACACUGGGACUGAGACACGGCCCAGACUCCUACGGGAGGCAGAAGUGGGGAAUAGUGACAAUGGGCGAAAGCCUGAUCCAGCAAUGCCGCGUGAGUGAUGAAGGCCUUAGGGUUGUAAAGCUCUUUUACCCGGGAUGAUAAUGACAGUACCGGGAGAAUAAGCCCCGGCUAACUCCGU